GUUCCCAAUACAUGCAAGUCGAGCGAAAGACGAGGAGCUUGCUCCUCUGACGUUAGCGGCGGACGGGUGAGUAACACGUGGAUAACCUACCUAUAAGACUGGGAUAACUUCGGGAAACCGGAGCUAAUACCGGAUAACAUGUUGAACCGCAUGGUUCAACAGUGAAAGACGGUCUUGCUGUCACUUAUAGAUGGAUCCGCGCCGCAUUAGCUAGUUGGUAAGGUAACGGCUUACCAAGGCAACGAUGCGUAGCCGACCUGAGAGGGUGAUCGGCCACACUGGAACUGAGACACGGUCCAGACUCCUACGGGAGGCAGCAGUAGGGAAUCUUCCGCAAUGGGCGAAAGCCUGACGGAGCAACGCCGCGUGAGUGAAGAAGGUCUUCGGAUCGUAAAACUCUGUUAUUAGGGAAGAACAAAUGUGUAAGUAACUAUGCACGUCUUGACGGUACCUAAUCAGAAAGCCACGGCUAACUACGUGCCAGCAGCCGCGGUAAUACGUAGGUGGCAAGCGUUAUCCGGAAUUAUUGGGCGUAAAGCGCGCGUAGGCGGUUUUUUAAGUCUGAUGUGAAAGCCCACGGCUCAACCGUGGAGGGUCAUUGGAAACUGGAAAACUUGAGUGCAGAAGAGGAAAGUGGAAUUCCAUGUGUAGCGGUGAAAUGCGCAGAGAUAUGGAGGAACACCAGUGGCGAAGGCGACUUUCUGGUCUGUAACUGACGCUGAUGUGCGAAAGCGUGGGGAUCAAACAGGAUUAGAUACCCUGGUAGUCCACGCCGUAAACGAUGAGUGCUAAGUGUUAGGGGGUUUCCGCCCCUUAGUGCUGCAGCUAACGCAUUAAGCACUCCGCCUGGGGAGUACGACCGCAGGUUGAAACUCAAAGGAUUUGACGGGGACCCGCAAAGCGGUGGAGCAUGUGGUUUAAUUCGAAGCAACGCGAAGAACCUUACCAAAUCUUGACAUCCUCUGAUCCCUCUAGAGAUAGAGUUUUCCCCUUCGGGG
rnacentral:rRNA from 1 species